CAUUCUGGACAAAGUAUGUUGAGUUCUGUCUGGGAGCAGAGAACUAUGGUUAUCAUCAUUGUCGGAGGCAAAAUCCAGAGCAGUUUUAUUUCUACUUUGAGGUGUUGUGGUUUCAUAGUUUUGAAGGACAUGGCUUACAGAUUUUAUAUGCUUAAAUAGCAAAGUAAAAAAAACGAGUUCGAGGCUUGGAAUACUUCUCUGGUUGGCGACGAGGAGCAGGUGCUGGUUUGCGACACUUGCGCUCAUCUGUCAGUGAGGCACAUUUGGUCAAUACCAAGGCAUUUACAGAGAGAAGCUUCAGUAGUUUGUAGCUGACAGACACCUAAGCAAGGAUGAAAUGAAAGCUUUGGUGGCAUACCAAGUGCCUCUCUGCAUUUCUCAAGAAGUUGUUGAUGCUUCUCAUGCUGACAUAUGCAGUUAGUUGUUUGCAAAGGUUUUGAUGGAAGUGAUUGUAUCAGUUGAUGGAUACGAGACGCUGACAGACCGAGAGGCAGUUAGGAAAGCAGAGCGUCUAAAUUUGAAAAAGGGGGUUGUUAUGACCAAGCGGUACGGAAAUUGUUCCUGAACUACAUUCAGAAAAGGGAAGCAGGUCAGGGAAUCACAUUUGCCAGCUAGAUCAACCUCUCUCUCUCUAGAUGUUUGCUAUUUGAUUCAUGCUCAACCUUCUGGAUUUAGUGCAUUGCAGAUCCUUGCAAAAGAGGACCCUGAAUGCAGAUUCCUUUUUAUUUAUGCCUACAUUAUCUUUGAUGAAAAGACAAGUGGGCAAGAUAGAAAUAUUUAGGUUGUUUCCCAGGCUGUUCAGUAUCAAAUAGUUUAUUCAGGACCUACCAAUGUGCUUCCAAAUAUGCCAAUUGGAAAAAGGCAUGAUUGCUGAUACGAGUACCGUGUAUAGAUACAUAAACGACUGAAGUACCAUGCCAUCUAUUUUUAGGAGCUCAUUUGUGUAUCUCAAUCAAGCAAAAGGAUGGAGUUUAUGGAUCAUGUACAUCUCGAUCUCUCGAUCAGUGGAAAAAAUUGAUAAAUGCAAAUUUUGAAGGCUUAUAUAUUGGUUGUUCAUGUGUACUGCCACCUCUCAUAUGCUGUAAGUGGGGUUUUAGCAGAUUUGGAAGGUACCACUCGAGCACGUUAACUCGCAUAUUGCUGGGGUUUCAGUAGAAAGGCAAUACAAGUGAGAUAUCUAACCGCACCAAUCAGUUGUGUGAAUUAGUUGCAAGUGUCCAGUUAAGCGGGUGGUUUUCACUUCAAGCUGAAAAGUGAAAUAUUAGUCUCACUCAGCCGCUUAGGUGACUCAGCAACCUGACAGUGGUAUCAAAGUCCUUCCUUCAGUGAAGCAGUCAAGCACGAUGCAGGCCAAGUGAUAAUGAAAAAAAAUAUAGGGCACCAAGCAGUCAUAUCUAACUUUAGCUCUGCGAGAAAUAGUGAAUUAUUUUAGAGUAGCUGUCAUUUCUUUGCAGAAAUUGUUGUCGACUGUAAUGAUGUGUAACUGAACCAGAAUUCCUUACGAAUGUUUUUCAUUGUAAACUGAACAUACAUUUUGACGUGAAAUAUCCUAUACGUUUCUGUAAAUUUGAAUUUCAGGGAUGCAGUUGAUGUAUCGCCUCCAGUAGUCCAGUUCCACAAUGAUAAGUACUUUGGCACAUUUUCCUUC